AUUGAACGCUGGCGGCAGGCCUAACACAUGCAAGUCGAACGGUAACAGGAAGCAGCUUGCUGCUUUGCUGACGAGUGGCGGACGGGUGAGUAAUGUCUGGGAAACUGCCUGAUGGAGGGGGAUAACUACUGGAAACGGUAGCUAAUACCGCAUAACGUCGCAAGACCAAAGAGGGGGACCUUCGGGCCUCUUGCCAUCGGAUGUGCCCAGAUGGGAUUAGCUAGUAGGUGGGGUAACGGCUCACCUAGGCGACGAUCCCUAGCUGGUCUGAGAGGAUGACCAGCCACACUGGAACUGAGACACGGUCCAGACUCCUACGGGUGGCAGCAGUGGGGAAUAUUGCACAAUGGGCGCAAGCCUGAUGCAGCCAUGCCGCGUGUAUGAAGAAGGCCUUCGGGUUGUAAAGUACUUUCAGCGGGGAGGAAGGGAGUAAAGUUAAUACCUUUGCUCAUUGACGUUACCCGCAGAAGAAGCACCGGCUAACUCCGUG
rnacentral:rRNA from 1 species